rnacentral:rRNA from 1 species
UACGUAGGGGGCUAGCGUUGUCCGGAAUCAUUGGGCGUAAAGAGCGUGUAGGCGGCCCGGUAAGUCCGCUGUAAAAGUCAAAGGCUCAACCUUUGAAUGUCAGUGGAUACUGCCGGGCUAGAGUCCGGAAGAGGCGAGUGGAACUCUUGGUGUAGCGGUGAAAUGCGCAGAUAUCAGGAGGAACACCAAUGGCGAAGGCAGCACUCUGGGACGUGACUGACGCUGAGACGCGAAAGCGUGGGGAGCAAACAGG